rnacentral:tRNA from 1 species
GCCCCUGUAGCUCAGUGAUAGAGCAGCGCUUUCGUACAGCGAAGACUGGAGUUUGAUUCUCCGCAGGGGCUCCA